GAAAAAGGCCUCUGUCGUGAGUGGCACACAUAGGGCAGCUUGAUAACUUUACAUGCAGAAUCGACAUCAGGAGAUUUCAGAAGCAUAAUAUUUGGUACCUGCGCAGCUGGUGAUCGUUGGUCCUGGCGCCGCA